rnacentral:rRNA from 1 species
CCUACGGGAGGCAGCAGUGGGGAAUAUUGCGCAAUGGGCGAAAGCCUGACGCAGCGACGCCGCGUGAGGGAUGAAGGUCUUCGGAUCGUAAACCUCUGUCAGCAGGGAAGAACGGUCACUGUGCUAAUCAGCAGUGAAUUGCCGGUACCUGCAAAGGAAGCACCGGCUAACUCCGUGCCAGCAGCCGCGGUAAUACGGAGGGUGCGAGCGUUAAUCGGAAUUACUGGGCGUAAAGCGCUCGUAGGCGGUAUGUCAAGUCAAGGGUGAAAUCUCCGCGCUCAACGUGGGAACUGCAUUUGAAACUGGCAAACUGGAGUGUGUGAGAGGAUAAUGGAAUUCCUGGUGUAGGAGUGAAAUGCGUAGAGAUCUGGAGGAACAUCAGUGGCGAAGGCGACUAUCUGGCACAUAACUGACGCUGAGGAGCGAAAGCGUGGGUAGCAAACAGGAUUAGAUACCCGAGUAGUC